rnacentral:snRNA from 1 species
GUGCCCACUUUGGCAGCACAUAUACUAAGACUGGAAUGAUACAGAAAAAAUCACCAUGGCCCCUGCGCAAGUUAACACACAAAUUUGUGAAGCAUUCCAUAUUUUU